UACGUAGGGGGCUAGCGUUGUCCGGAAUCAUUGGGCGUAAAGAGCGUGUAGGCGGUUCGGUAAGUCCGCUGUGAAAGUCCAGGGCUCAACCCUGGAAUGCCGGUGGAUACUGUCGGGCUAGAGUCCGGAAGAGGCGAGUGGAAUUCCUGGUGUAGCGGUGAAAUGCGCAGACUAUCUGGAGGAACAUCGGUGGCGAAGGCGGCAUCCUGGACCGGUAUUGACGCUGAGGCGCGAAAGCCAGGGGAGCAAAGCGGG
rnacentral:rRNA from 1 species